rnacentral:sRNA from 1 species
GCGGAGGAAAAGAAACCAACAGGGAUUGCCUCAGUAACGGCGAGUGAAGCGGCAAGAGCUCAAAUUUGAAAGCUGGCUCCUUCGGGGUCCGCAUUGUAAUUUGCAGAGGAUGCUUCGGGAGCGGCCCCCAUCUAAGUGCCCUGGAACGGGCCGUCAUAGAGGGUGAGAAUCCCGUCUGGGAUGGGGUGCCCGCGCCCGUGUGAAGCUCCUUCGACGAGUCGAGUUGUUUGGGAAUGCAGCUCUAAAUGGGUGGUAAAUUUCAUCUAAAGCUAAAUACUGGCCGGAGACCGAUAGCGCACAAGUAGAGUGAUCGAAAGAUGAAAAGCACUUUGAAAAGAGAGUUAAACAGCACGUGAAAUUGUUGAAAGGGAAGCGCUUGCGACCAGACUCGCUCGCGGGGUUCAGCCGGCCUUCGGGCCGGUGUACUUCCCCGCGGGCGGGCCAGCGUCGGUUUGGGCGGCCGGUCAAAGGCCCUCGGAAUGUAACGCCCCCCGGGGCGUCUUAUAGCCGAGGGUGCCAUGCGGCCAGCCCGGACCGAGGAACGCGCUUCGGCUCGGACGCUGGCAUAAUGGUCGUAAGCGACCCGUCUUGAAACACGGACCAAGGAGUCUAACAUCUACGCGAGUGUUCGGGUGUCAAACCCGUGCGCGCAGUGAAAGCGAACGGAGGUGGGAACCCCUCGGGGUGCACCAUCGACCGAUCCUGAUGUCUUCGGAUGGAUUUGAGUAAGAGCGUAGCUGUUGGGACCCGAAAGAUGGUGAACUAUGCCUGAAUAGGGCGAAGCCAGAGGAAACUCUGGUGGAGGCUCGCAGCGGUUCUGACGUGCAAAUCGAUCGUCAAAUUUGGG